CGGGGUGAGUAACGCGUGGGUAACCUGCCAUAUACAGGGGGAGUAACAGCGAGAAAUUGCUGCUAAAACCGCAUAAGCGCACGGAGUCGCAUGACUCAGUGUGAAAAACUCCGGUGGUAUAUGAUGGACCCGCGUCUGAUUAGCCAGUUGGCAGGGUAACGGCCUACCAAAGCGACGAUCAGUAGCCGGCCUGAGAGGGUGGACGGCCACAUUGGGACUGAGACACGGCCCAAACUCCUACGGGAGGCAGCAG
rnacentral:rRNA from 1 species